AACCCAUGGACACUCUGGGGAUGAUCCCUCUGCUUUCAUUAAGAGUUCCAAGAUGUUGGUCUGAUUGACUGGGGUGUGAAAUGUAACAGCCAAUGGUGUACUUAAGCUAAGACUGUCAGUCCCAAUAUUCAAGAGGAAAAACCCCUACAUAAACAAAUACAUGGGCGCAGACAUUUUGGACACCCAAAGUUGUGCGGAGGAGAAAAUGCUAGCUGGCGCGUGAUUGGUCAAUAAGAGAAAAGACUUGUUAUGUAUUUGACAAGUGAAAUAAAGUUGAUAAAAAUCUCA